rnacentral:rRNA from 1 species
UACGUAGGGUGCGAGCGUUAAUCGGAAUUACUGGGCGUAAAGCGUGCGCAGGCGGUUAUGUAAGUCAGGGGUGAAAUCCCCGGGCUUAACCUGGGAACUGCAUUUGUGACUGCAUAGCUAGAGUACGGUAGAGGGGGAUGGAAUUCCGCGUGUAGCAGUGAAAUGCGUAGAUAUGCGGAGGAACACCGAUGGCGAAGGCAAUCCCCUGGACCUGUACUGACGCUCAUGCACGAAAGCGUGGGGAGCAAACAGG